UACGUAGGAUCCAAGCGUUGUCCGGAUUUACUGGGUGUAAAGGGUGCGCAGGCGGACUGAUAAGUCAGGAGUGAAAUCUCGGCGCUUAACGCCGAAACGUCUUUUGAUACUGUUGGUCUUGAAUUAGAGAGAGAUUCGUGGAAUUCCGAGUGUAGCAGUGAAAUGUGUAGAUAUUCGGAAGAACACCAGUGGCGAAGGCAGCGAAUUGGCUCUAUAUUGACGCUCAGGCACGAAAGCAUGGGGAUCAAACAGG
rnacentral:rRNA from 1 species